rnacentral:misc_RNA from 1 species
CCGAGUUAUCAAACUCCCAAACCCUAUGUGAACCUUACCUAUCUGUUGCCUUCGGCGCAAGCUUACCCCGCGCCCUCGCCGCCCCGGGACAGGCGCCCGCCGGAGGACCCAAACCAAACUCUGUUUCAUGCUAGUGAUUCUUCUGAGUGUCUACUCAUAAUAAGUCA